AUGUGAGGGUGAUCUGGCUGUAGCAUGGCAUCCCAUUGGUGCCAGGUUGACUGGGCUGAUGCUGGCUAGGCAUGUGUCACCCCUACUCCCUCACUCGUCUGUGUGCAUCCUUUCCAAAAAUGCAUGUGUGGGAGAAGAUGACUCCUGACCUGGGAGGGGGUGAGGUG
rnacentral:snRNA from 1 species